rnacentral:hammerhead_ribozyme from 1 species
AUCCAGCUGACGAGUCUUAAAUAGGAUGAAACGGGCGUACUGGAU